AUAAUCAUUAAACAUAUUAAGAAGAAAAAACUACAGUUCUUUCUGAUUAUGCCUACUGGUUUGUGUGCUCUAGGGCAGAAUUCUUUCCUACCAACUUUUAUUGCUAUCACCAAAUUGGAGCAAAAGGAUAAACUUCAAUGGUUACUUCAAUCCCAGAGGGAUAUUUAAUGUUUUGUUAAAAGAAAGCGAAACAAAAGAAAAUCUUGGGGCAUCAGUGAUUCUGUGCAGCAUAUAAGAUACCCAGUGCCAACACAGACCAGGAAUUAUGUUUAUCCAAAGGAAAACAAAUUUAUAACAUUCCACUCACUGUUACAAUAGAGCAGAAUUUUAAUUAGGCAGAAUAUCAUGGCAACUUGUUCAAGAAGCAUGAUUCAUAUUAGAGACAUUUACAGAUGUAAGAUAAUCUAAAUAUAACAAGAAGUCAUUCCUUAUUAAUAAGUAGCUAAUGGUAAAAAAACUUCUUCAAAGCAAGUGGGAGCAUAGAAAUCCUCUUGAGCAUAUCUUGGGUAAAAACAAAGUAGUUAAAAGCAAGUUUAAAAUAUGUUUAUGCAGAAGCCUAAGAAUUUUCUGAUAAUAUUAGGAGAAAGAUAUAACCAGUGAUUCCAAAGUAGAAGGACACAUGCAAUAGCAGCAUGGUACAUGCAGGAAAUGAUUGGAAGAGGACAAUUCUCUUGAAUUAAAGGAAAAAAGAGAGAGAAAGAGAGCCACAGGACAAGAAGAGAGGCAAUUACCUACCAUUGCUAAGUUAAGGAUUUUCAUCAUACCUCAAAUUAUAUUUUAGAGUACAUAAUUAUGCCAGUUUAAAAAUAUAUAAUUUUCAUUUUAAAUUGUUAAUAUAAUCAUUAUCAAAUUAUCUCCUUUGUAGUUUUCACAAAGUAUUGACUUAGAAAAUUCUUUCAGGUUGGGGUUGUUUUUCUGGGUCAAUUGUUGUCAGCAUUUGUAGACAUAAAGGGCCUUCAUUUGAUACACAGCUUUCUAUGCAGAGCAUUGCUUCUGUGUAUAAGUGCAUAUUAUUCCAUGUCUACUCUCCUUUAAAUCUUAUGAGACUUCCAUAGAUCAAUUUGCAUUUAUAAGUACCCAUUUCAGUCUUACAACAUAAUUUUUCAGGUCUUAUUUUUCACCCUGUAAAGUUUUAGAAAUGACAAAGUGUACUAUCUUUAUUCCUGUCCUUUUCUCUUCUAAACAUAAUAAUUUUCUUGGGUUCAGGGAAAGUAUUGAUAAAUGCGUUUUGCAAUGCUCUGAGUAUUUGGCAGUUGGAAGGAUCUUCUGCCUAGUAGCGCAUAAAGCUAAGGAUAACUCUAUAACCCUUUAGGACAAAAUUGGGGACAAGCUACUUUAAACUUCAUUGGUGGAUAUAUAUAACAAUAUAUAAGAAAAAAGUUCUUAACUUCUAUCUGAUAAAUAUUGAAAAGGAAAAUCAUUAAAUAGCCUAGAUUCCAAUAAAAUUGGGAAAAAAACAUGCAGAAUAAGUGUUGUCUAAUAGUAAAUGCAAGGUAUAGCAUGACUUCUUUUUUCAUUGAGAUGUAAUGAUAAAUAGAUCUGCACAUAUUUUCGAAAAAAAUAAAAUGAUAUAAAAUGAGAUUUUGGCUUCUCACUACAUAUGCCAUAGAUUUGAGCAUCAGUGGUCAUCUAUUUAUACACAUGAUGCUUAUAAGAGAAAAUUUAAUGUUAAUGAAAAAGAAAGGGCGGCAGGAAUAAUAUGUAUCUCCCACCAUGGCAUACAUAAUGUAUGCUUGUAGAAUAGAGUGAUGAAUUAUAUAAAAAUACAUGGUGAUUAUUAUUUUAGAAACAAUAAAUUGAAUAGUUGAACAUUAAUUUAUCAGGAUUUUACCACUCUUACAUUAAUCAGCCUCUUUCCUCAACUAUAAAAUAAGGAGAUUAUCAUAGUGUAAAUCCAUAGGAUUGUUGGGAAGAUUUAGUGAGGAGUACUUAGGGCUGUGCUGGUGUAUGGUGUCAUACAAGCAUGGGCUAUUGUCCCAUCAUGGUACAGCAUUAGCUAACACUAUGGUGCUAAUCAUUUUGCAAGAUAUGUAUAUCAAGUCAACAUGUUGUACACCAUCAGCUUACACAAUAUGUCCAUUAUAUCUCAAUAAAACUGGGAAAAAAGCACACAGAAUAAGUGUUGUCUAAUAGUAAAUGCAAGUUUAAAUGAUAUUUAUACAAAUCUGACCAGGAACCAUGGGGUUGCAGGUUCGAUCCCUGGCCUUGUUCAGUGGGUUAAGGAUCCCGGCAUUGCUGAGAGCUGUGGUGUAGCUGCAGACACGGCUCAGAGCCUGCCUUGCUGUGGCUCUGGCGUAGGCUGGUGGCUACAGCUCCGAUUUGACCCCUAGCCUGGCAACCUCCAUAUGCUGUAGGAGUGGCCCAAGAAAUGGC
rnacentral:lncRNA from 1 species